ACGGGAGGCAGCAGUGGGGGAUAUUGCGCAAUGGAGGAAACUCUGACGCAGCAACGCCGCGUGAAGGAAGAAGGCCUUCGGGUUGUAAACUUUUGUCUUCAGGGACGAUAAUGACGGUACCUGAAGAGGAAGCUCCGGCUAACUACGUGCCAGCAGCCGCGGUAAUACGUAGGGAGCGAGCGUUGUCCGGAAUUACUGGGUGUAAAGGGUGCGUAGGCGGGAGAUAAAGUCAGAUGUGAAAUACCGAGGCUUAACUUCGGGGCUGCAUUUGAAACUUAUCUUCUUGAGUGAAGUAGAGGCAAGCGGAAUUCCCAGUGUAGCGGUGAAAUGCGUAGAUAUUGGGAGGAACACCAGUGGCGAAGGCGGCUUGCUGGGCUUUAACUGACGCUGAGGCACGAAAGCAUGGGUAGCAAACAGGAUUAGAUACCCUGGUA
rnacentral:rRNA from 1 species